rnacentral:lncRNA from 1 species
AUGCUAACAUGCCUGGUAUGCUACAAUAAGAUCCAAAUUGUCUCCUUCCCUCCCUCCUUCCUCUCUCCCGCCAGAGAUGGCCCAAGACUGCACAGAUGUCGAAAAAAAUAACCAAGACAGUAGAAAGGUAGGAGGAGGGAAAAGAGAGAAUGCUAUGUCAUGAUAACUAAGGAAGGGAGUAUCCAAGAGGAGAAGGUGAUUUUUCAGCAGUGUCCAGGGCUGCAGAGAGGUCAAGAGGGAUAAGGUUUGAGAAAGGCUCUUCACAUUAGAGUUUACAAUUAAGAGGUCUUUGGAGAGAGUUUCAAUUGGAUGGUAAGGGUGGAAGCCAGAUGGCAGAGGUUUUAGAAGAAAGGAAGAGGAGAGGAAGUAGAGACCGCUACUGACUUUCUCCUAAAAUUUACCUCCAAAGGGGAGGAGAGAUCUAGGAUAAUAGCUCAGUGGUAGGAUCAUGUGGAGGUUUUUUAAAGAUAAGGGAGAUAUGGAUGUGUUUGGAGGUAAUGGAGAAGCAGCCAGUAUAUAGAGACUGAAGAUUACAGAGUGAAUAUUAGUGAGGAGGAGGGGAUAAGGAUGGGAGGGUUUGGGUUCCUCUGUAGAGGAAGUUGGCCUUGGCAAGUAGAAGUAGGAGAUUAUGGUCAAUGCAAGAGACUUG